CCCUUAGAUGUUCUGGGCCGCACGCGCGCUACACUGAUGCAUUCAACGAGCCUAUCCUUGACCGACAGGUCCGGGUAAUCUUUGAAUCUGCAUCGUGACGGGGAUAGAUUAUUGCAAUUAUUAAUCUUCAACGAGGAAUGCCUAGUAGGCGCAAGUCAUCAGCUUGCGUCGAUUACGUCCCUGCCCUUUGUACACACCGCCCGUCGCUACUACCGAUUGAAUGGUUUAGUGAGAUCCUUGGAUCGGCCCUGUCGCGGCUGGCAACGGCCGCGUCGGCGCGUCGAGAAGACGAUCAAACUUGAUCAUUUAGAGGAAGUAAAAGUCGUAACA
rnacentral:rRNA from 1 species